rnacentral:lncRNA from 1 species
GAUUCAGAAGAAGGUAGUGUAUAAGUGCAGAGUAGUUUAGAAUCAUCCCUGGUUUUUAAAAUAAAGGAAAACCAGGAUAUAGAUCCCAGCCUAGUUAAGUUAAAAAAAUCAGUCAGAGAUUAGAAGAUAGUGGUUUUCUCCCAAGGGGGAGAUGGUUAACUAUGUUGUUAGGGUCGGCUAUGUGUGCUGGUGUAGAUGACCUAAGAUAUCGAAUUCUUGCAAAAAUGCAUGGUGCAUGUUACUCUAUUC